rnacentral:tRNA from 1 species
AACCGCGUAGCUCAGUUGGUAGAGCAUUGGGCUAGUAUUCCAAAGGUCGUAGGUUCGAUUCCCACCGUGGUCA